rnacentral:rRNA from 1 species
CCUACGGGUGGCAGCAGUGGGGAAUAUUGGACAAUGGGGGGAACCCUGAUCCAGCGACGCCGCGUGAGUGAAGAAGUAUUUCGGUAUGUAAAGCUCUAUCAGCAGGGAAGAAAGAAAUGACGGUACCUGACUAAGAAGCCCCGGCUAACUACGUGCCAGCAGCCGCGGUAAUACGUAGGGGGCAAGCGUUAUCCGGAUUUACUGGGUGUAAAGGGAGUGUAGACGGCCAGACAAGUCAGAAGUGAAAGCCCAGGGCUCAACCGCGGGACUGCUCUGGAAACGGUAGAGCUUGAGUGCGGGAGAGGCAGGCGGAAGUCCUAGUGUAGCGGUGAAAUGCGUAGAUAUACGGAGGAACACCAGUGGCGAAGGCGGAUUGCUGGACAGUAACUGACGCUGAGGCGCGAAAGCGUGGGGAGCAAACAGGAUUAGAUACCCUUGUAGGC